GGAAGAGGGACGGGACGGCCCACGUCGACGUGGAGGUGCAAAAUCUUUCCAAAUAGGACAGAAAUACAGAAAGGCAGUGUCAUCUUCUCAGUUCACCAGCGCUACUGUCGAGGCCAUUGGAACUCUGUUGCUAACCAAAAGAGCAGCGCCUAUGGGAAAACAACGGCAACUGCUGAUGAUGAGUCGUCACGCCUCCCUCCCACUGGAUGACAAAGCAGCUUUAACCUCACGAGGAGCUACGCGGCUCGGCCUCGGUUGCGUCGAGCGGAGGAGGCGCCCUGUCAGGAUGGAGGCGACCUCUCGGUGACCAAACGCUUCAAAGUCCCUUUGAUGUAAAAAGCCAGCGUUAGUGCCCCAACGCUAAUCCUCAUCUCCGGACCCGCCCCAACGUCCAGUCUGGCGGCACACCUGACGCCGACACGUGACUCCCCUCACCUGCUCCUCAUUGGCUGUCGUGUUCAUGCAGGACCUUUAACACAAGGUUGCCCGCCCGCCACGGCUCUUUACAAGGCCUGCCUUUGGCCAGAGAAAAACCUUUUUUAACCUCCUCGGUGCUCGGCAGCAAACAUUUUUGUUUUUGCUUUUUCUGGGGGGACUGAGAGGAGAAGAAGGGAGGAGAGACGACCUCCUAAUGUACAUUCUGUUCUGCUUUGGCUGCGAUUCCCAAGGUUGUUUGUCUGUGCGUGUGUGUGUGUGAGUGUGUUAGGUGGUGCCAGGCACUAGCGUCUCCUCUGGCUCGCUCCGUGUUGACCCGACCCUGGACUCUCUCCUCCCUCCCACGAGUUGGGCGAGGCUUGGCAGAGCUGCACGUAUCCAUCCGCACACACUGAUUGCCGGUAUGUGCACGCAUGUACACGCACACACAAAUAGUCGGUGUGUGCGCGCGUGUGUGUGUACACUUGCACCAUGGACAAAUGGGGAGAGAGAGAGAAUAUUAGAUACUUACAAAGAACCCCGCCAAUUUUUUUUUUUAUAUGAUUAUCUUGAGGUGUGUUCCAUCUAGGUAGCAAAAAGUAUCAAUUAUUCACUUGGCUCAUAAAAAAAAAAAAAAAAAAAUGAGGAUCAGGAUUAUUUUCUACCAAUACAGUUCAUGAUAAAAAAAUAUCCAAUAAGAGACUAAAUUCUGAUUGGGGAAAGCGAAAGCUAGUCACCAUGACUACAGUUCUUCUUUGUCUUCUAAAUAAAAGGCAUUAACCUAACCUCUGAAAAACUAGUCAAGCAAACUGGGAAAUUUGCAGGCGACAAUGUGCAAAAAGAAAACGUUCAUCUCAAUUAAGGGCACCGGCGAGUCCCACUUCCUCGCUUGCUCGCUCGCUUCUCAUCAGCUAACACUCACACACUAAGUGAAACAAAUUUUCCCACGUGCAAUCAACGCGCCAGGCAUGCCAAGGUACAUUCCAGGGAUCGAGUGUGUUACCCUGAUUUAAGGCUGUCUUGUCCAAGGCCCGGCUCCCUGUCUCUCUCUCUCUCGCUCGCUCUGUUUUUGUGUGUGUGAACGAGCCCACGUCAUCCCGCUCGCUCGCAACACCGCCUGAUCCCGAUCCUAUCUUAGCUCGUCUAGUCUCACCCACUCACUUCCAAAUGAAUAUAAAUGGUUGUUUUCAUUGUAUGACUGCAAAGACUGUAAAAGGAAGCGAGAGCGACGGCGUCAUCUCACAAGAUAAACAAAAGGCAAGGACACGUUUUUAGGAAACGACAAUUAAGAGUCAAAUGAGACGCUUAUGAUUACAUGUGAAGAGUCGUCAUCGUCGUAAUGAAACAAGCCCGCAUUCCUGUGCUUAAAAACAUUACAAGGUGACAAAUGAGGAAAGAGGGCAGAGGGCAAAGCCGCGGGAACAAAUCACGCAGAUGUGACGCCGAGUCCAGCGCCAGCGAGCGAGCCAGCACUUUGCCUUGGCCGAGGAAAGGGGAAGAAUCAAAGUCGGCAGAUGAUGCAGAUGGAAAGCAUCUGCCUGCCGGGGGACACCAAAAGUGAUCGUAGAUAGAUUGGUGCACGCUGGAGUUGACACAGUCCCUCAGCAUAAAUGACCCCGGCUGACCCCGCCAGUUAGCCUUUGUUUAGCAGACGCCCGGCCCCCUUUAAUCUUGUCCAGAGAUAAAUCCUUUGAUGGACCUAGUCCCACUCACUUGAAAGUACGGGCCGGGCCAUCUCCAUAGAUCAACGUAAUACUGCACGUUUGAA